GAGAGGGAGGGAUUGAGGCUGGAUUUAUACCUCAUCAUACAAAGUCACUGAUUGGAAGAAGAGGGAGAUGGGUUUGUUUAAUUCAACAAACAUAAAUUCAGAGGAAGUGUAAAAUACUUUCCAUGUUUUGGGCAAUAUGUUUGUCUAAUUGCAGGAAAAAAAUGGUUGAGGUUUUGUCUUAAUGACAUGUAUGAUGAGGGUAAGGGAAGGGGAAGGACUAUGAGGGUUUGUAAUUAAAUAUGAUAAAAUUUGAUCAUAAAAAAGGCCUCCUCUUGUCAAGUACAGUCCUCACAUUCAAAGAAUGAGAAUGUGUUUUAUUUUUUCUGCAAGCAUGCUAUUUAUUUAAGGGAUAGUUCGGGUUUUUUGAGUUAGGGUUGUAUGAGGUACUUAUCGAUAGUCAGUGUAUUACCUACAGUAGAUGGGGGUCGGCACGCAGUCAGAGGCCGAGAGAGGGCCAAGCUACCUGGUGGUGCAGAUGUAUAAACUGUGCUCACGAACACAGAGAGCUACUGCUGCCAUGAGUGGGACUUGGUUACAACACAACAUGAGGAUCUUUCUGAAUCUGAGGAUGCCAGCACCUCACAGUCUGCAUCAUCAACCAUCCAGAGUUACCUGCCUUACUGACUGCUGGUGUCUUGCAGACCUUCUUCAAUUUUCAAAAGAUAAAUUGGAAAAAAUAUCCCAGACCAGAAGGGCCCAAUGACAGUUUGUCUUCAAAACUGACCCAGAAGAAGACUUAUUCCAAUAUUGAUUUCAAAGACGAAAUCAAUCUUGAUUGCUGGGGAGGACACAGGAAGGUUGCUGUCUACCAUGAUUGAUGAGGACCAAUGAUACUGCUGAGAACCACAGCUCAUCCCCUGCCAAAUGGCUUGUGUGUGAGUGUGUGUAUGUGUAUGUGUGUGUGUGAGUGAGGUUGAAUGAGUGCAUGUAACAGAAGUAAAGCAGUGUAAAUCCAAAAAAUGGUUCUAAUCUAAAGUUAUGUUAUACAUGUUGUAUAUAUGUUAUAUGUUAACGAUGGUGGGUGACGAGAUGGGUAAAGAAAAGAUGAGAAAGAAAAACUUAAUGUAGAUUCUUGCAUGUAUGCACGGUUGUAUACUGGCUUCACAGUACAGUAGACUGUAUUUAUGUGUGCAUGCAUAUAAAUUGGGUACAGAAAGUCUUCACACAUCUUUCUGUUUUAUGUUUUCUGAAAUUAAACCAGUUGUAUCUUAUUUGGUAACCUGUAAUUUCAAGGGAAAAAACACUCGAUGUGACCACAAUUUAUUUGUUUCAUGUAACUGUAAAAUAAAAAGACAGGCUGAGGUUCUCUGAAUAAAGCACAGGCAGCAACAGGAGAGAUCUACCUUUAAUAGCCUUCCACAAAAAAAGUCUUACACAUUACUUCCCUUAUAUGACCUCUUAUCAAAACAGUGUCCAUAUUUCCCCCCAAGCUGUCCUCAUUGAUUCCUAUGCCACAUGUUUCUGGCUAUAUUUUAAUACAACCCGCAAGCUUCAUUAUACAGUUUGCAUACGCGACUAUCACUUUUUUGAGCCGAGACUAGAAUAUGUCAUAAUGUAUUCAAUUAACAAUGUACGCUGCUAUGCAGUUUUUUUUUAUUCAACAAAUUAUAAACAAACCAACAAAACAAAACAAAACAAAAAACUGCCUGAAGAUUGUUGCUUAUGGAGAAAAUUGUGAUCGACACAUUUAA